GGGGCGGUGGGCUAGUCGUCAAGUCGCUCUCUGCCUUGUAUUGUUAUUCGUAUACCUAGAACCUAUGACCUCUUCAACGGCAGAGAGAGAUCGGUGGUUCGAAUCCAUCCCGCCCCA
rnacentral:tRNA from 1 species